GGACUACACGGUUUCUAAUCCUGUUUGCUCCCCACGCUUUCGCACCUCAGCGUCAGUAUCGAGCCAGUGAGCCGCCUUCGCCACUGGUGUUCUUGCGAAUAUCUACGAAUUUCACCUCUACACUCGCAGUUCCACUCACCUCUCUCGAACUCAAGAUCUCCAGUAUCAAAGGCAGUUCCGAAGUUGAGCUCCGGCAUUUCACCCCUGACUUAAAGAUCCGCCUACGUGCGCUUUACGCCCAGUAAAUCCGAACAACGCUAGCCCCCUUCGUAUUACCGCGGCUGCUGGCACC
rnacentral:misc_RNA from 1 species